rnacentral:rRNA from 1 species
UUAAGUUAAUAAGGGCGCACGGUGGAUGCCUUGGCACUAGAAGCCGAAGAAGGACGUGACUAACGACGAAAUGCUUUGGGGAGCUGUAAGUAAGCGCUGAUCCAGAGAUGUCCGAAUGGGGGAACCCACUAGUUAAUGACUAGUAUCCAUAUCUGUUAAGGAUAUGAGAAGGAAGACGCAGUGAACUGAAACAUCUAAGUAGCUGCAGGAAGAGAAAGCAAAAGCGAUUGCCUUAGUAGCGGCGAGCGAAACGGCAGGAGGGCAAACCGAAGUGUUUACACUUCGGGGUUGUAGGACUGCGAUAUAGGAUUAAUCAUUAUAGAAGAAUUACCUGGGAAGGUAAGCCAAAGAGAGUAACAGCCUCGUAUUUAAAAUGAUAGAUUAACCUUAGCAGUAUCCUGAGUACGGCGAGACACGCGAAAUCUCGUCGGAAUCUGGGAGGACCAUCUCCCAACCCUAAAUACUCUCUAGUGACCGAUAGUGAACCAGUACCGUGAGGGAAAGGUGAAAAGCACCCCGGGAGGGGAGUGAAAUAGAACCUGAAACCGUGUGCCUACAACAAGUUCGAGCCCGUUAAUGGGUGAGAGCGUGCCUUUUGUAGAAUGAACCGGCGAGUUACGAUAUGAUGCGAGGUUAAGUUGAAGAGACGGAGCCGUAGGGAAACCGAGUCUUAAUAGGGCGUCAUAGUAUCAUGUUGUAGACCCGAAACCAUGUGACCUACCCAUGAGCAGGUUGAAGGUGAGGUAAAACUCACUGGAGGACCGAACCAGGGCACGUUGAAAAGUGCUUGGAUGACUUGUGGGUAGCGGAGAAAUUCCAAACGAACUUGGAGAUAGCUGGUUCUCUCCGAAAUAGCUUUAGGGCUAGCGUCGAUGUUAAGUCUCUUGGAGGUAGAGCACUGUUUGGGUGAGGGGUCCAUCCCGGAUUACCAAUCUCAGAUAAACUCCGAAUGCCAACGAGAUAUAAUCGGCAGUCAGACUGCGAGUGCUAAGAUCCGUAGUCGAAAGGGAAACAGCCCAGACCACCAGCUAAGGUCCCAAAAUAUAUGUUAAGUGGAAAAGGAUGUGGGGUUGCACAGACAACUAGGAUGUUAGCUUAGAAGCAGCUAUUCAUUCAAAGAGUGCGUAAUAGCUCACUAGUCGAGUGACCCUGCGCCGAAAAUGUACCGGGGCUAAAACAUAUUACCGAAGCUGUGGAUGACACAAAAGUGUCAUGGUAGGAGAGCGUUCUAUGUGUGAAGAAGGUGUACCGUGAGGAGCGCUGGAACGCAUAGAAGUGAGAAUGCCGGUAUGAGUAGCGCAAGACAGGUGAGAAUCCUGUCCACCGUAAGACUAAGGUUUCCAGGGGAAGGCUCGUCCGCCCUGGGUUAGUCGGGAUCUAAGGAGAGACCGAAAGGUGUAUCCGAUGGACAACAGGUUGAUAUUCCUGUACUAGAGUAUAUAGUGAUGGAGGGACGCAGUAGGCUAACUAAACCAGACGAUUGGAAGUGUCUGGUCAAACAGUGAGGUGUGAUAUGAGUCAAAUGCUUAUAUCUUUAACAUUGAGCUGUGACGAGGAGCGAAGUUUAGUAGCGAAGUUAGUGAUGUCACACUGCCAAGAAAAGCUUCUAGCGAUACAUAUACUCUACCCGUACCGCAAACCGACACAGGUAGUCGAGGCGAGUAGCCUCAGGUGAGCGAGAGAACUCUCGUUAAGGAACUCGGCAAAAUGGCCCCGUAACUUCGGGAGAAGGGGCGCUGAUUUUAGAUCAGCCGCAGUGAAUAGGCCCAAGCAACUGUUUAUCAAAAACACAGCUCUCUGCUAAAUCGUAAGAUGAUGUAUAGGGGGUGACGCCUGCCCGGUGCUGGAAGGUUAAGAGGAGUGCUUAGCGUAAGCGAAGGUAUGAAUUGAAGCCCCAGUAAACGGCGGCCGUAACUAUAACGGUCCUAAGGUAGCGAAAUUCCUUGUCGGGUAAGUUCCGACCCGCACGAAAGGCGUAAUGAUUUGGGCACUGUCUCAACGAGAGACUCGGUGAAAUUUUAGUACCUGUGAAGAUGCAGGUUACCCGCGACAGGACGGAAAGACCCCAUGGAGCUUUACUGCAGUUUGAUAUUGAGUAUCUGUACCACAUGUACAGGAUA